GCUGAUGUUUAUUUUUACGAAACAUAUCGCACUCAAAAUCCGGCGGGGUAACACCCGUGAGGGUUCAAGUCCCUCCUUCGGCACCA
rnacentral:tRNA from 1 species